GCUGGGCACGGUGGCGCGUGCCUGUAAUCCCAGCUACUCAGGAGGCUGAGGCGGGAGAAUUGCUUGAACCCAGGAGGCGGAGGUUGCGGUGAGCCGAGAUUGGCCAUUGCACUCCAGCCUGGGUAACAAGAGCGAAACUCCGUCUCAA
rnacentral:sRNA from 1 species